rnacentral:rRNA from 1 species
GACGAACGCUGGCGGCGUGCCUAAUACAUGCAAGUCGAGCGGACCGAAGGGAGCUUGCUCCUUUAGGUUAGCGGCGGACGGGUGAGUAACACGUGGGCAACCUGCCCUGCAGACUGGGAUAACUUCGGGAAACCGGAGCUAAUACCGGAUAACACCGAAAACCGCAUGGUUUUCGGUUGAAAGGCGGCUUUUAGCUGUCACUGCAGGAUGGGCCCGCGGCGCAUUAGCUAGUUGGUGAGGUAACGGCUCACCAAGGCGACGAUGCGUAGCCGACCGGAGAGGCUGACCGGCCACACUGGGACGGAGACACGGCCCAGACUCCUACGGGAGGCAGCAGUAGGGAAUCUUCCGCAAUGGACGAAAGUCUGACGGAGCAACGCCGCGUGAGCGAAGAAGGUCUUCGGAUCGUAAAGCUCUGUUGUCAGGGAAGAACAAGUACCGUUCGAACAGGGCGGUACCUUGACGGUACCUGACGAGGAAGCCACGGCUAACUACGUGCCAGCCGCCGCAGUAA